UAUAUGAUGCUUCCGUUUAUAUAAUACAUAUUCAAACAGUUUUCCAUAUCUAUACCUUUACUUAUUCCUUUUCAAUUCAUAUUUUCUUUCUAAGUUAAUGAUUUGUCCAUUUUUAUUUUUAUCUCGAACAGCCGUCAAUCUUCAUCGUGCCCAAUCGCCAUCAUGCUUGGAACUAAUCCCUCAAGUCAGUCACCAUCGUGUUUACAAGAAACCCCUCCUGCCCAUUCGUCUUUGAAUACACUGUUGUGCCCAGUCGUCUUUGAAACCACCACCACCGUGCUCAGUCGUCGUCAUGCUUCUGCCACAAGAAUCCUUCGUGCCCAGUCGUCUUUGAAUCCACCACCACAUGCCCAACCGACCACCACCACAUGCAAGCUCAGAUCUUGUAUAUAAAUCUGCAUUCGAAUCGAAGUGCCGUCCGUUGAACGCCUUGAACGAUUUCAAAGUAAAAAAAUAUGAUUGUGGUGCACGACUGUUGGAUUUGUAGAACUGGUGAUUGUGAGUUUUUAUUAUUGAUAUCACGUGUAUGGUAAUUAAAAAGCUUGGUUGUGAGAUUUGUAGAACUUGUAAGAUUGUUUCGAAUAUUUUAUACUCUGUCAUUUGUAAAACAUGUAGAACUUGUAGGACUUUGAGGUAUCUCAUACACUACUGCACUAUAUAUUUCAUAUUGUGUAUAUGUUUCAACAUUGUUUUAACCAUAAAAAAGUACCAUAAAGACAGAUUUUCUAAAAUAUAGUGUGGUUAUUAUUUUAA